rnacentral:rRNA from 1 species
UACGUAGGGUGCGAGCGUUGUCCGGAAUUAUUGGGCGUAAAGAGCUCGUAGGCGGUGUGUCGCGUCGGCCGUGAAAACCUGCAGCUUAACUGUGGGCUUGCGGUCGAUACGGGCAUCACUGGAGUUCGGCAGAGGAGACUGGAAUUCCCGGUGUAGCGGUGAAAUGCGUAGAUAUCAGGAGGAACACCGGUGGCGAAGGCGGGUCUCUGGGCCGAUACUGACGCUGAGGAGCGAAAGCGUGGGGAGCGAACAGG